rnacentral:rRNA from 1 species
UGGGGAAUUUUGGACAAUGGGCGAAAGCCUGAUCCAGCAAUGCCGCGUGUGUGAAGAAGGCCUUCGGGUUGUAAAGCACUUUUGUCCGGAAAGAAAUCCUUGGCUCUAAUACAGUCGGGGGAUGACGGUACCGGAAGAAUAAGCACCGGCUAACUACGUGCCAGCAGCCGCGGUAAUACGUAGGGUGCAAGCGUUAAUCGGAAUUACUGGGCGUAAAGCGUGCGCAGGCGGUUUGCUAAGACCGAUGUGAAAUCCCCGGGCUCAACCUGGGAACUGCAUUGGUGACUGGCAGGCUAGAGUAUGGCAGAGGGGGGUAGAAUUCCACGUGUAGCAGUGAAAAUGCGUAGAGAUGUGGAGGAAUACCGAUGGCGAAGGCAGCCCCCUGGGCCAAAUACUGACGCUCAUGCACGAAAGCGUGGGGAGCAAACAGGAUUAGAUACCCUGGGUAGUCCACGCCCCUAAACGAUGUCAACUAGUUGUUGGGGAUUCAUUUCCUUAGUAAACGUAGCUAACGCGUGAAGUUGACCGCCUGGGGAGUACGGUCGCAAGAUU